rnacentral:lncRNA from 1 species
GUUUUAUGGAGGAGUGUUGGGAGAAGGCGCGGGGAGGGGUUUCCUGCCAUGAGCAAGCACAAGAUGAACAAGAAGAGGAAGAGGAGGAGGACGAUGAUGGUGAUGAUUGGCUGAUUUGUGAAGUAAAUAUGUCUUUUUAAUCUGCAGAGAGAAGGCAACACCAUUCCCUGGCUUGCUGCUGUAGCCUCUCUUUAAACUGAUCAGCAGGUUCACCCUUUCUGCAGCAUUUCAGAAAGAACAGCAAGUAUACUUAGAACAGUUCGACAGAGGUUAUACCAGAAGUCUUGUGGCAUCUGCAAUAUGCCUGAACAUUUUUCCUUUUUAAAAAACCUCUUUCUGCAAAUUUUGUCAAAGCCGGAAGCAAACGUCACCAAGGGGAGCCUUUUCUAGCAGAGUUUGUCAAUUACACACUUUGCACAUCUCUGAAAGAGUAAACAAAUGAUAAAUUGCAACUGUUGCCCAGGCCCUGUAAACAAAAGAUCAAAUUCUCUGUGCUGCCUUGGCAAGAAAACUAACUGCAGCAUUUUGUCAAGAUUUUUACAAG